CUCUCUCUCCAAUUGUUUUUAUAAAUCUUAAGACACCGCAAGUCAUGAAAACAGAACACGAGUAAAUUUAAGUAGUAGUAGUAGUAGUAGUAGUAGUAGUAGUAGUAAGGAGGGGGGGGAGAGGGUUAGUGGAGUUUGAGUAAGUGGAGCGAGGAGAUGGUGAAGGGCAUAGUGGUGUUGGUGUUGGUGGUGUUGACGGGUCAGUGACAUGUGGAGUAUAGGUAAUUUGGUGGGUGGAUACUGUCCUGUGUAUGUGUCCCUCCCUUCAAUUCAUCUCCACGUUGUCUUUAUCUCUUAACAAUGUAGUUCUUUUUUUCCCCCAUCCAGUUUAUCGCUAUUGUGUGUGUGUGUGUAUGCGUCAACACAACACAGUAUAUACAUUUGGGUGAAGGCUGACGGGCUGGGUGGGUGCUGGUUGGGUUGGGUGGUUGAGUGGGUGAGGAGGAAGGGGAAGGGAGAGUACGACGAGGAACGGACUAUCUGACUAACGAUGGGCAGGCGAACUAAGAAGAGAACUAAUGGAGAAGAUUCAGCAGAGGGAAGAGGAAAGACGGAAGGAGGGUAUAGUUAAAUAGUGUAAGUUCUUUUCCCUCCCCUUCGUUCUCUUUACAAUCAAGGGUUUAGUAAGAAGACGAAGUGGGUUAGUGAAGAAGGUACAGGUGGGGGAGAAGGAAAGAGAGUUAGGAGUGUACAUUUGUAUAGUGUAGGUUCUUUCCCUUCCCUUCGUUCUCUUUACAAUCAAGGGUUUAGUAAGAAGAGGAAGUGGGUUAGUGAAGAUACAGGUUGGGGAGAAGGAAAGACAGAAGGAGUGGACAGUUGUAUGGUGUAGGUUCUUACCCUCCCCUCCUUUUUUCAAUCAAGGGUUUAGUAAGAAGAGGAGGUGCUGGGUACUCUCCGAUUUCCCUUUCUCCCCCUCCCUGCCUCCCCCCUCUCGUAUGAUACAGUACCCACGUCACAUUUCCUUCCCCCUUCACUUUCCUCCCCACCUCCCUGUGUCUCCAUCUCCCCACCCCUUCCCUCCCCACCUGGGUACUCCCUGUCUCACCCCCUUCGUGGUCAAGGCUGAUUAUAUUAUUUAUUUAUUUAUUUCUAUUUUUUCCCUUUCCAAGAGCUUCGUUCAGGUUAAAUUACGUUCAGGUGUGUUGAUGUGAUUAGAAAGGUCAAGAAUGGGUUAGUUAUCCGUGUGUUCUCUAUACCUCUCUUCACCUCAUGGGUAAAGACCGCGAGUUAGAGGAGAUAGCCAACUUAACCCAAGCAGGCGAAAGUCAUGGCGUAACAGCAUCAUGGUAUCGACAUGGCAAAAGAAGAAGGCUUAAGAGCAAUUCAGAGAUGUGCAAACUCUGGGUAUGUGGCGAGUGAAGUAACAGUUCGGGAAUAUGUUAAGUCUGGCUAUAUUGUAAACGAAGUGCCGAGCUAAAGAACAGUUGAGGAAUAUGCGAACUCUGGCUAGGUGGUGAACGAGGCGCCGAGCUAAAGAACGGGCCAAGAAUAUGAAAAUUCUGGCUGGGUGGUGAGUGGGGUGCUGAGCUAAAGAACAGUUCAAUAAUAUGCAAACUCUAGCUAGGUGGUGAGUGGGGUGCCGAGCUAAAGAACGGGCCAAGAAUAUGAAAAUUCUGGCUGGGUGGUGAGUGGGGUGCUGAGCUAAAGAACAGUUCAAUAAUAUGCAAACUCUGGCUAGGUGGUGAGUGGGGUGCCGAGCUAAAGAACAGUUAAAAAAUUCGCAAACUCUGGCUAGGUGGUAAGUGGGGUGCCGAGCUAAAGAACAGUUCAAGAAUUUGCAAACUUUGGCUGGGUGGUGAGCGUGGUGCCGAGCUAAAGAACAGUUCAAGAAUUUGCAAACUCUGGCUGGGUGGUGAGCGAGGUGCCGAGCUAAAGAACAGUUCAAGAAUUUGCAAACUCUGGCUGGGUGGUGAACGCGGCGCCGAACUGAAAAACCAGUCCAAGAUUAAGGGAACUGGGUAUGUGGUGAACGAGGUGCUGAACUAAAGAACAGUUCAAGAAUAUGCGAGCUCUGGCUAGGUAGUGAGGUAGGCGCCGAGCUAAAGAACAUGCGAAGAAUAAGGAACGUACGAAGAAGCGAGGUGCCAAGCAUAUAAGAACAGUUCAGAAAUAUGCAAAGAAGUGAAGUGCCGAGUUAAAGAAACAGUUCAAGAAUACUCGAACUCUGGCUGGGCGGUGAGCGAGAUGCCGAAUUAAAGAACAUGCGAAGAAGCGAAGGUGCCAAGCAUAAAAGAACAGUUCAGGAGUAUGCAAAGGAGUGGCAUCCCGAGCUAAAGAACAGUUCAAGAAUAUGCGAACUGUCGGUGGGUGGGUGAGUGAGAUCUCGAGCUAGAUAACAGUUGAAGAAUGAUCAAGAUACCGAGCUAAAUAACAGAUUAGGAGUAUGAGAACUUGCGUAGGAGUGAGGAGUCAAGCUUAAAAUAAUUUAGAUAUAUGCGAACUUUGGCUUGGUAGGUGUGUGGGGGUGUUGUGGGGGGAGAUGCCGAGCUAAAGAAUGCUUCAAGAAUAUGCGAACUUGGGAAGGUGGUGAACGUGGUGGCUCAAGAUCCUGCUGUGCUAGAAGCGGGUGCGUUUACCGAGGUGAGGGACUGGCGCCUGGCUGCUUAGGGUCGUGGGGGGGGUAAGGGGGGGGCUCGGGGAAAGGGAAAGGGAGGCGAGGGGGGUGGGUGAGAGGGUGGGUGGCUGGCUGACCCACACACAGGAGUGACGUGGUGGUGGUGGUGGUAUCCGUCAGAGUAAGAGUUUUGGUUGAGUUCACCCUUCCCCUCCCUUGACAUCUCUGUGUGUGUGUGUGUGUGUGUGUGUGUGGAACGUUUUCAUGUGAUAAGAGAGAGUGUGUGUGUGUGUGUGUGUGGAGUCAGCGGCGAGGUGCAGCGUGGUGUGUGUGUGUGUGUGUGUAUGUGUGUGGUGGGCAGGGCAGGGCAGGGCAGAGCAGGGGCCCGCGGCGUCACACAAGGGCGGCAGCGGUCACCAUCACCACCACCACCGCCACCGCCCUGCCAGCCCUCGCCUCAUGCCUGUCCCGCAGCGCCAGGCCACACUGAUGCAACAGCUACCGACUGCCUGGCCUGCCCCGCGCCGCCCAGCAGGCCACACGGCGCCUCCUGUGUGUGUGUGUGUGUGUGUCCUGGCCUGGUGGAGUGUGUCGCGUAGGAGCAGCGCUAGGGUACACACACACACACACACACACACAUACAGAGGUCAUUGCAAACUUGACUCGAUUCUGUGAAAAAUAAACAUGAGAUGGAAGUAGGUAACCCCA